rnacentral:snoRNA from 1 species
AAUCAAUGAUGAAAAUAGCCAAAUCUGAGCAUCAGAAGACCUUCCAGUCUACCGGAUACAUCUUGCUUAAA